AGAGUUUGAUCCUGGCUCAGAACGAACGCUGGCGGCGUGCCUAACACAUGCAAGUCGAACGAGAAAGCUCCCUUCGGGGAGUUAGUAAAGUGGCGCAAGGGUGAGUAACACGUGAAUAAUCUACCCUCGAAACUGGGAUAACUUGGCGAAAGUCGAGCUAAUACCGGAUAAGACCACGCUUCUCAAGAAGCGCGGCCAAAGGGGUCUCAAUCCCCGUUUGAGGAUGAGUUCGCGGACCAUUAGCUUGUUGGUGAGAUAAGAGCUCACCAAGGCGACGAUGGUUAGCCGGCCUGAGAGGGUGAUCGGCCACACUGGAACUGAGACACGGUCCAGACUCCUACGGGAGGCAGCAGUGGGGAAUAUUGCGCAAUGGGCGAAAGCCUGACGCAGCAACGCCGCGUGAGGGAUGAAGGUCUUCGGAUUGUAAACCUCUGUCGAAUGGGAAGAAUUAUGACGGUACCAUUAGAGGAAGCCCC
rnacentral:rRNA from 1 species